GCCACAACCCAAGGUGCCGGUGCCUCCUUGUCACGCAGCUUGAUUGCAGAUGUGAACGUACGCGCCGACAAGGACAGUCCAAAGAUCACCGAGUGACACGGUAGAACUCGAUCUACAAUCAUUGUACAACAAACGAGUCUGUAUCGUCACCACAGUUGCCAACUUGGCGAUCAGCUAUUGUGGAGCCUAUCUAAAUACAUCUAAAUUCGUAGCAUUUCUCCUCUAACCGGUUCAUCUACCGUAAAGGUAGCGUGUUGUGUACUAUGCACGUACCUGCACAGCUAGGGACCGCGGUAUUCACUGGCACAACGUUGUGUGUCAGAGCGGAGUUGUCCGCGGCCAAGGGCAGCCAAAGUGGUUUGGCACGUGACGGAAUGUUCAGCUGAUUGGCGUUGCUCGGACAUAAGACAUCAGGCAGUAUGGUUUGAAAAAUUUGCUUGAGUCUUUUAUUAGAGAUAUGAAUAGACUUGCUGCUGGUCAUGACUUUGACAUCCAUGGUGCAAAAGUGAACUACAAAGGACGUCUGGUGGCUUUGGUAGCUGAUACUCUUGCAAGGAGGGAGUUGGCUUUGCACUAAGAAAAUGUAGAAAAUACUUGGCGACUCAAGAGCAGAUACAAAACAUGGACAGACAAUCAAUUACACGGAUUGUCUUCACUCUGAAGAGCUGAUCCUCCACCUUGGAAGAAAAGCACCUAGCCCUUUAUGGGUUUUCAAAUAAUUGAUUGUUGUCUUCCUCGCAUUGAGAUUUUCUUGAUUUGUGUU